rnacentral:rRNA from 1 species
AGAGUUUGAUCCUGGCUCAGGACGAACGCUGGCGGCGUGCUUAACACAUGCAAGUCGAACGGAAUCCAUGGUGUAGCAAUACACCGGAAGAUUUAGUGGCGAACGGGUGAGGAUCACGUGAGAAACCUGCCCCAGACUUUGGGAUAACAAUUGGAAACGAUUGCUAAUACCGAAUGACGUCGGAGAACCGCAUGGUUCACUGACGAAAGGAAAUCCGGUUUGGGAGGGUCUCGCGGCCUAUCAGCUUGUUGGUGGGGUAAUGGCCUACCAAGGCAACGACGGGUAGCUGGUCUGAGAGGAUGAUCAGCCACACUGGGACUGAGACACGGCCCAGACUCCUACGGGAGGCAGCAGUGGGGAAUCUUGCGCAAUGGGCGAAAGCCUGACGCAGCAACGCCGCGUGCGGGAUGAAGGCCUUCGGGCUGUAAACCGCUUUCAGCAGGAACGAAAAUGACGGUACCUGCAGAAGAAGGAGCGGCCAACUACGUGCCAGCAGCCGCGGUGACACGUAGGCUCCAAGCGUUGUCCGGAUUUAUUGGGCGUAAAGAGCUCGUAGGCGGUUUAGUAAGUCGGGUGUUAAAACUCUGGGCUCAACCCGGAGAGGCCAUCCGAUACUGCUGUGACUUGAGUUCAGGNNNGGAGCGGGGAAUUCCUAGUGUAGCGGUGAAAUGCGCAGNUAUUANNNNNAACACCGGUGGCGA